GAACUUAAUUUCUGACUGACUCAGAUCAAGUAGACUACGCUGACUUAAGCAUAUCAUAGCGAGACAGAAACACAGGGAUUCCCUAGUAGUGGCGAAUGAAGCGGGAAAGCUCAAGUUGAAAUCUGAUGGGUUUCCCUUCAGAGUUGUAAGCUGAAGAGGCAUCGACCGACGUCGUCUGGGCCCAAUUUCCUUGGAACAGGAGGUCAUGGAGGGUGAGAACCCCGUCUGUGGCUCAGAGCCUUCGUCCUUAUGUCGUGUCCUCGAAGAGUCGGGUUGUUUGGGAAUGCAGCUCAAAAUGGGUGGUAAAUUCCAUCUAAGGCUAAAUAUUGGCGAGAGACCGAUAGCAAACAAGUAGAGUGAUCGAAAGAUGAAAAGUACUUUGAAAAGAGAGUGAAACAGUACGUGAAAUUGUUGAAAGGGAAGCGUUUGGCAUCAGCCCAUGGCGUCCAUUGAUCAUUCAGGCUUCUGUCUGAUGCACUUGAUGGAUGUCGGGCCAGCGUCGGCUUUGCCCGCCGGAGAAAGGCCUUGGGGAUGUGGCACCUCUCGGGGUGCGUUAUAACCCUUGGCGUCAUGCGGUGUGGUGGGGCCGAGGUCCGCGGUUUAUCCUAGGACGCUGGCGUAAUGGUUCCAAGCGACCCGUCUUGAAACACGGACCAAGGAGUCUAACAUCUAUGCGAGUGUUUGGGUGUAAAGCCCGUCCGCGCAAUGAAAGUGAAUGAAGGCGGGAGCCUUUAGAGGGUGCACCGCCGACCGGUCCAGGGGUUUACCGAAGGAUCUGAGUAAGAGCAUAGCUGUUGGGACCCGAAA
rnacentral:rRNA from 1 species